rfam:Clostridium paraputrificum strain 373-A1 CP373A1_19, whole genome shotgun sequence.
CUUUUAUUAAGAAUGGUGGAGGGACUGGCCCUAUGAAGCCUAGCAACAACUAAUAUUCAUUUAUUAGAACUGUGCUAAAUCCUGCAGGAGUUUCCUGAGAAAUGAGAG